rnacentral:lncRNA from 1 species
AUUUCAUCAAAACCGGCCUUUCACCCCUUGAGGAGAGGUUUGGGUUAGCAGCAGUCUCUUCCCCUCUUAUAAUGGCAGGUGCCACUGCUGCCUUAUGGCUUCACUUCAUGGCUUGGAGUGACUUCAGAUAUGACUUCUCCAGAGGGUCCUCCCUGAACUCAAGUUACUGGAGUUUGAGAGGCCUGACAGUGCAGCUAAAUGUGGUUGAGGGAAGAACCAUUUCUUGUUUUGGCUAUGGUCUUUGCAACAACUUUCAGUUACCUGGAGAGGGGCGGAGAAGAGAAAGGUGUUUUUAAAGAUCUCAGCGGCCCGAAGAGGAAAAAUGUGCAAAAUUUCAUUAACUUGAAAGGCAGCAAGACACAGUCCCCCAGGCCAAGCUGCAAAUCUGCAAAUCAUGGUGUAAGAUCAUCAAGAAUCUUUGCACUGUUCCUGAGAAGUUAAGCUUUGCCUGCUUUUUUGAGGAGGAGGAGUUGAUACCUCCUGCUGUCUCCUCUGACCCUCCUGCUCCUCCUCUGCAGUCACAUCACAGGAGUACAAGUCCUUUCCUCCAGGGACCUUUUUCACUAUUUGUGCAGACAAAUCAUGAAAAUGAAGUGUUUGCCUUGGAGCCACCCCAGGCCCAGAGAACAGUGACCCUGCAGAGCAUCGGUGUGGGGAAGGCUCGGGACUCGGCCGCAGCCUGGAAGGAUCUGGCACACAGCACCGGGCAGUGCCUCAGUGUGGCUUGGGACUCCUCCUGCUCUCCUUGUCCACUUGCUCAGAGCACAGCAUUAACAGAAAGGAGUCAAGUUUCUGUUUGCUUUCCCACUAGAGAUGGUUUCUGGAGUUUCCAAUCUGGAAUAUUUGACAUUUCAAGGACAUCACAACAUCCUGUUUCUCUUUCUAUAACCCUAUAUGUUUUUUCUGUUUCUAAUAGCCACCCCCAUUCUCUAAAGCUGUGGGAAUUUCCUGUAUUCCUGUACAGAAGAUUUGCUAGGAGUGAAGCUCCUAAGGAGAAAAACACAAAGAGCUGA